rnacentral:rRNA from 1 species
AAAGGAAUAGACGGGGGCCCGCACAAGCAGCGGAGCAUGUGGUUUAAUUCGAAGCAACGCGAAGAACCUUACCAGAGCUUGACAUCUCCUGCAUAAUCCGUAAUGGGAUGAAAUCCUUCGGGACAGGAAGACAGGUGGUGCAUGGUUGUCGUCAGCUCGUGUCGUGAGAUGUUGGGUUAAGUCCCGCAACGAGCGCAACCCCUAUACUUAGUUGCUAGCAUUAAGAUGAGCACUCUAAGUAGACUGCCGGAGACAAUUCGGAGGAAGGUGGGGAUGACGUCAAAUCAUCAUGCCCCUUAUGUUCUGGGCGACACACGUGCUACAAUGGGUAAAACAACGGGAAGCAAGAUAGUGAUAUUAAGCAAAUCCCUAAAAGGUACUCUCAGUUCGGAUUGUAGGCUGCAACUCGCCUACAUGAAGUCGGAGUUGCUAGUAAUCGCGAAUCAGCAUGUCGCGGUGAAUACGUUCCCGGGCCUUGCACACACCGCCCGU